GGCUCAGGAUGAACGCUGGCGGCGUGCUUAACACAUGCAAGUCGAGCGAAGCACUUAACUUUGAUUCUUUCGGGAUGAAGAGUUCUGUGACUGAGCGGCGGACGGGUGAGUAACGCGUGGGUAACCUGCCUCAUACAGGGGGAUAACAGUUAGAAAUGGCUGCUAAUACCGCAUAAGACCACAGCACCGCAUGGUGCAGGGGUAAAAACUCCGGUGGUAUGAGAUGGACCCGCGUCUGAUUAGCUUGUUGGUGAGGUAACGGCCCACCAAGGCGACGAUCAGUAGCCGGCCUGAGAGGGUGAACGGCCACAUUGGGACUGAGACACGGCCCAAACUCCUACGGGAGGCAGCAGUGGGGAAUAUUGCACAAUGGGGGAAACCCUGAUGCAGCGACGCCGCGUGAGUGAUGAAGUAUUUCGGUAUGUAAAACUCUAUCAGCAGGGAAGAUAAUGACGGUACCUGACUAAGAAGCACCGGCUAAAUACGUG
rnacentral:rRNA from 1 species